GAUUUCUGGCUUGAGACUGGCGGCCGACCACGGUUUCGUGUGUUAGUGCUGUCUGUUCUGGCCAUCCUUCCAAUGGCUGUUCUGCUGCUCUUCAUUGAGUGGCAGUCGACAGUAUUGGAUCUUUUACUUUGAAAAAAUUAGAGUGUUUCAAGCAGGCGUUUUUGCUAUGAAUACAUUAGCAUGGAAUAAUAAUUUAGGACUUCGGUUCUAUUUUGUUGGUUUCUAGGACUGAAGUAAUGAUUGAUAGGGAUAGUUGGGGGUGCUAGUAUUCAGCGGCCAGAGGUGAAAUUCUCGGAUUCGCUGAAGACUAACUUAUGCGAAAGCAUU
rnacentral:rRNA from 1 species